GUCUUUGUUAGCCGCUCGUUUCUGAGUACCUGUGCUUCUCUGUGCUUAUCUUCUGAUCGUCCUUCAAGCCCUGCUGCUUCCGGCUUUUUUCAAAUAUCUGGUAAUCCUUGAUGGUCCCAUCAAAGUCAGUAGACCCUAAUAUCUGAUAGGAAGUUUCACAAACAUGGGAAUUACUUGUUGAAUGAUGAACCUGAAAUUAUUUUGUUCAAGAUUUUGCCCAAGGUCACACUGCAGAUCUACCAGCCACAGUUAUGUCAUGUAAGCCAGUGCAUUUUCUUUGGGCUAUAAAGUCACAACUGAGAUGGCAAAGAGAUUGGAACGCAACUGUUCUCCACUUGGUUUUGAUUAGAGCCGUCGACUUUUCUUCCUUUUGGUUGGUUGAAGCAAAUAAUUAUUAAGCUUACCUGAAUUUCUUCUGCUUGUUUAAUUCACUUACAAAUGACAACUCAUCCUAGUAUUUUCAUAAAAUAGUAAAAUAUAGUGUUUCAAAACACUUAGAAGAUAUACAAG